GUCAAAUAGGGACCAGUAUGAGGAUGCUGAAUGGUGUACAGAAGAGAGAUUUCUGAUGAUAGAAACUCUUAUGGAUAUAAUCUUCUCCUGGAGAUGUGGAAUAGCCUUCUCAAGUUGAGGGUUAUUCUAGAUACAGUAUGAUUGUCUAGAAGGAGGUGGAGAAGGAGGAAAUGCCCAUCACUUACCUAAGCACAUAUGGCAGCCUUACCUGCAUCAAUGUGGAGUACUAUGUGCUCAAGGGCAAUCACUUUAAGAAAUGCUCUGAGUGGACUCUGGUCACAGAGCUGGUGAGCUCUCAGUAAUCGUACUGAUGAGAACAGGGAAGGUAUGAUGGGGAAGCAUUGUCAUGAGGUAAAAUAAUACCUCAUGAAGUAAAAGGAAAGUUCUGGUUUUGUUUUUGCAGUGUUCAAGUUUGCUGAUCUCUGUACUCCUGGAAAACAGCAAUGAUUAAGAAAUCCCCCUACCUUUUUGCAUUCUGGGAAACAGCUUGAUGCAAAGAACCACCCUUCUCUGCAUGAUUGUUGCUUGUUCACCCAAAGUGAUAUCUGAAGAGUGGCUAAAGCCAGAAGAGGGCUGCAGAUACACACUGGAGACCUCUCUUCAUGGAGGUGGGAGGUGACAACCGGCAGCUUGAAGUAAUGAAGUCAAAGAAUUUUCAGAAGAGUUCGGAAAAAGAGAAUAGACUUGGGGUUAGAACCUUCAGGCAUAUUAGAUAUUCGAGGAAAAUCAAGAAAUCCUAGUACUGGUGACGUUCAGACAACACAAGCAUUGGCACACCAACCCCUUCUUCAUAGUGGAAAAUACGUGUACAACUUGACUUCCCCAAAACUUACCUACGAGUUGCCCACUGUUGACAAGAAGCCCUACCAAUAACAUGAACAGUUGGUUAACACAGAUUUUGUAUGUUAGAUGUAUUCUCUAUUCUUAUAGUAAAGUGAGGUAGAGAAAAGUAAAUGUUAUUAAAGUUAUAAGGAAGAGAAAAUACAUUUACAUACUGUACUCUUUUAAUAAAAAAAAUCUGUGUGAAAGUAGACCUUUGGAGUUCAAACUCAUGUUUUUCAAGGGUCAACUACAGAGGGAAAGCAAUAAACAGGAUUCACUGGCUUUCAUAAAAUAUGAAAAGGC